rnacentral:tRNA from 1 species
CUGUUGCUCAGUGGUAGAGUCCAUGAUCAAUAUUCAUGAGGUUCUAGGUUCAAUCCCUGGUAG